GGAGAAAGACGGGGCAGGGGGCGCUGUAAUAGGUAGGGUCCGAGCGGUGUCCGGGUUUAGUGGGCGUAAAGCGAGCGAAGGCUGUUUGAUAAGUCUGAAGUAAAAGGCUGGGGCUUAAACAGAGUAUGCUUUGGAAACUGUCAAACUUGGGUGCAGAAGGGGAGAGUGGAAUUCCAUGUGUAGCGGUGAAAUGCGUAGAUAUAUGGAGGAACACCGGUGGCGAAAGCGGCUCUCUGGUCUGUAACUGACGCUGAGGCUCGAAAGCGUGGGGAGCAAACAGGAUUAGAUACCCGGGUAGUC
rnacentral:rRNA from 1 species